GGAGGUCUGGUGUAGAUAGUCUGCACAGUUGUCUGAAAAGCAACAGGUCCAAGGUGCGAUACCUGGGGCCUCCACCA
rnacentral:tRNA from 1 species